AUUGAACGCUGGCGGCAUGCCUUACACAUGCAAGUCGAACGGUAACGGGCCUUCGGGUGCCGACGAGUGGCGAACGGGUGAGUAAUAUAUCGGAACGUACCUUUCAGUGGGGGAUAACGUAGCGAAAGUUACGCUAAUACCGCAUAUUCUGUGCGCAGGAAAGCAGGGGACCUUCGGGCCUUGCGCUGAUUGCGCGGCCGAUGUCAGAUUAGCUAGUUGGUGAGGUAAAGGCUCACCAAGGCGACGAUCUGUAGCGGGUCUGAGAGGAUGAUCCGCCACACUGGAACUGAGACACGGUCCAGACUCCUACGGGAGGCAGCAGUGGGGAAUUUUGGACAAUGGGGGCAACCCUGAUCCAGCCAUGCCGCGUGAGUGAUGAAGGCCUUCGGGUUGUAAAGCUCUUUCGGCCGGGAAGAAAUCGUAUGGGCUAAUACCCUGUGCGGAUGACGGUACCGGCAUAAGAAGCACCGGCUAACUACGUGCCAGCCGCCGCAGUAAUAC
rnacentral:rRNA from 1 species